UCCCCGAAAUGAUUAGAACGCGAACACUUUGGAUCGUUUACGUGAGCCUGGGAAAGGGCCCAAAAUGGCCUGGGAAGGGGCCCAUUACCACUCUCUCUCUCUCUCCGACGAGCUACCUUCCUCUCUCUCCAUAUUGGAAACCCAUUCCCCCUACGCCACUUUCAAUUCACUCUCCAUUUCCCUCCGAUCAAACCCAGAUUUGAGACCAAAACCUAGAAUUUCACUCCUCGUUUCUCUGACUUUUGAAGGGAAUAGGAGGUUUGGAGAUUUAUGUGUAUAAGUGUUGCUGUUUUUGAUGGGUCAGUUUAGGAGACUUGAACUUGUGUCUCUUUAUUGGAGAAAUGUGGUAAGUUGAGACCUUUUACUGUUGUUGCUGAGUGUUUCCACUAGCACCUGGCUGUGCUUUAGUUAAAUGUUUUAUCGAUGGAAGCAUGAAUAAUUUCUUUCAAAGUCCGAACCAAAUAAGUGUGGACCAAUAAAGGAACUGUGAUGAACCAGGCCCUAUAAUAAUGCUUUGAAAAAAAGAUCAAAGGGCCUUGAGAUUGUGAUACAGAGCAUAAUUGGGGAAAAAAGGAUUUAUAAGCAUCCCAAAUGGUUUAAAGGCUAGAGUACUUUAUGUUAUAUAUAAACAUAAUAACUUCAAAAUAGUCUUUAUUUAAUUACUUUCAGCUGGAAAUCUGAAUGUGAGAAUGAAUUCUGCAAAAUUGGCAGCUAUGGAAUGCUAUAACGCGGAUAAAAAAAAGAGAUGGUAUGCGAUAACGGAUUUUGCAAAGCAUUGGUAGUUAAGGAGGGUCUAACCUUACUAGUUGUAGCUUGAAUAAGUUUUGUUAGUUUAUCUAUUUCUUUUGGUUUACUAUCAAGGUCAGUUUGGAAUUCCAGAUCGAGAGAUAAAAGGCGUUCAUUCGUUGCUCGGCGGACGGUGUUGCAAUGACAUAGGCUGCAUGCUUGGCUAUGAAGAUACAUUAUCGAAGGAUUAUAUGAACUUGCUUCUUGAUUGCUAAGAAUACAUACUUCAC